rnacentral:rRNA from 1 species
GCGUUGGCAGCGGAGACAUUCCAGUCGUUACGGGGUUGUUUGCUGGCUUCUGUCACGGGAGCAUGUGCACGCCUCGCAUCCACUUCAACCUCACCUGUGCACUUCAGAGGACCUCUUCGGUCUUCUUUCACACAAACCACAUAAUGUCAUAGUAGAACGUCUUUGUUAUUAAACAAUACAACUUUCAACAACGGAUCUCUUGGCUCUCGCAUCGAUGAAGAACGCAGCGAAAUGCGAUAAGUAAUGUGAAUUGCAGAAUUCAGUGAAUCAUCGAAUCUUUGAACGCACCUUGCGCUCCUUGGUAUUCCGAGGAGCAUGCCUGUUUGAGUGUCGUGUAAUUCUCAAUCCCGAUCGGUUUUGGCCGACUUCGAGGUUGGAUUUGGGAGUCCGCUGUGCCUUGCAUUAGGUUCGGCUCUCCUUGAAUGCAUUAGCUCGGUCACGUAGUUGCCCGACGGUUCACGGUGUGAUAGUUUAUCUUCAUCGCCGUUCUGACCGCUCGGUGCCUGUGUUCACCGGCUUCUAAUACCGUGUCUCAGACACGACUUCUUUAACGCUUGACCUCAAAUCAGGUAGGACUACCCGCUGAACUUAAGCAUACAAAAGGGGGGAAAGAAAAU